ACUUCACUUGAAUUUAUAGGUAGCAAAGGAAAAUGGAACCACUUUACCUUCACCUGGCUUAUUCAUUAUUAGAUAUCACUCAUUUUAUCCUUUGCAUAAGGAGGGAGCAUAUACUCAUCUCAUGAGUGAAGAAGAUUUUGAGAACUUGAAGUGGCUUCACAUUUUCAAUAAAUAUGAUCUCUAUAG